GGCUCAGGACGAACGCUGGCGGCAUGCUUUACACAUGCAAGUCGAACGGCAGCACAGGGAGCUUGCUCCCGGGUGGCGAGUGGCGCACGGGUGAGUAAUACAUCGGAACGUGUCCUGUUGUGGGGGAUAACUGCUCGAAAGGGUGGCUAAUACCGCAUGAGACCUGAGGGUGAAAGCGGGGGAUCGCAAGACCUCGCGCAAUUGGAGCGGCCGAUGCCCGAUUAGCUAGUUGGUGAGGUAAAGGCUCACCAAGGCGACGAUCGGUAGCUGGUCUGAGAGGACGACCAGCCACACUGGGACUGAGACACGGCCCAGACUCCUACGGGAGGCAGCAGUAGG
rnacentral:rRNA from 1 species